GUGCCAGCAGCCUCGGUAAUUCCAGCUCCAAUAGCGUAUAUUAAAGUUGUUGUGGUUAAAAAGCUCGUAGUUGAACCUUGGGCCUGGCUGGCCGGUCCGCCUCACCGCGUGCACUGGUCCGGCCGGGCCUUUCCCUCUGUGGAACCCCAUACCCUUCACUGGGCGUGGCGGGGAAACAGGACAUUUACUUUGAAAAAAUUAGAGUGCUCCAGGCAGGCCUAUGCUCGAAUACAUUAGCAUGGAAUAAUAAAAUAGGACGCGCGGUUCUAUUUUGUUGGUUUAUAGGACCGCCGUAAUGAUUAAUAGGGACAGUCGGGGGCAUCAGUAUUCAACUGUCAGAGGUGAAAUUCUUGGAUCAGUUGAAGACUAACUACUGCGAAAGCAUUUGCCAAGGAUGUUUUCAUUAAUCAGGAACGAAAGUUAGGGGAUCGAAGACGAUCAGAUACCGUCGUAGUCUUAACCAUAAACUAUGCCGACUAGGGAUCGGACGGUGUUAUUCAUGACCCGUUCGGCACCUUACGAGAAAUCAAAGUGCUUUGGGCUCCAGGGGAGUAUGGUCGCAAGGCUGAAACUUAAAGAAAUUGACGGAAGGGCACCACCAGGGGUGGAGCCUGCGGCUUAAUUUGACUCAACACGGGGAAACUCACCAGGUCCAGACACAAUAGGAUUUGACAGAUUGAGAGCUCCUUUCUUGAUCUUGUGGGUGGGGGUGCAUGCCGUUCUUUAGUUUGGUGGGGUGACUUGUCUGCUUAAUUUGCGAUAGCGAAACCGAGACGUUAACCCUGGCUAAAAUUAG
rnacentral:rRNA from 1 species